rnacentral:rRNA from 1 species
UACGUAGGUGGCAAGCGUUGUCCGGAAUUAUUGGGCGUAAAGCGCGCGCAGGCGGUCCUUUAAGUCUGAUGUGAAAGCCCCCGGCUCAACUGGGGAGGGUCAUUCGAUACUGAUCGACUCGAAGGCAGGAGAGGGUAGUGGAAUUCCCGGUGUAGUGGUGAAAUGCGUAGAUAUCGGGAGGAACACCAGUGGCGAAGGCGAGCUACCUGGCCUGUUCUUGACGCUGAGGCGCGAAAGCUAGGGAGCAACGGG